rnacentral:lncRNA from 1 species
AAUGUCCAUAGAUUUGGCAAGCCAGGACUUAAUGGCGCAAAGCCUAUUGUGGCAAGGUUUUUAUACAGAAAAGAACUAGAAGCGGUGCUUAGAAACACAAACAAAUUAAAAGGAAAGAGCUUUGGAGUUAAUGAACAAUUCCCGGAAGAGAUUGAAACUCGGCGGAAAAAAUUGUACCCGGUUCUUAAAAAAGCUAGACACGAAGGGAAACAAGUUAAAUUGGUCCGAGACAAACUAUUUAUUAAUGGAAAACAAUAUCAAAGUACAGAAGAAGAGCAGAAUAUAGCAUCUGAAUACAGAGAGACCCUAUUGAAAAACAAUCAAAAGCAAAGUGGUGCAAGUCCUCCAGUACCACCUAGACCGUUUAAACGAACGCGUACACAAUCUUCCGAUACAAACUAUGAAGAAAACGAAUAUGUGUAGGACAACGCCGCUACAAGAGUUAAGGUUACUUCUGAACUUUCGAACUAUGAACCUGGGGGGCUAAAAUUGUCUUGUAUUAAUGUGUGUGGCUUAAAAUCUAAAUUGAUUAUUCCCGAAUUCAUUGAAACUAUUCAAAAAUACGAUAUUCUGGUAUGUAUUGAAUCAAAAAUUGAUGAAUUUGAUAUGCUAUCUUUGCCCGAUGGGUAUCUUUC